rnacentral:rRNA from 1 species
ACGUAGGGUGCAAGCGUUAGUCGGAAUUACUGGGCGUAAAGCGUGCGCAGGCGGUUAUGCAAGACAGAUGUGAAAUCCCCGGGCUCAACCUGGGAACUGCAUUUGUGACUGCAUAGCUAGAGUACGGUAGAGGGGGAUGGAAUUCCGCGUGUAGCAGUGAAAUGCGUAGAUAUGCGGAGGAACACCGAUGGCGAAGGCAAUCCCCUGGACCUGUACUGACGCUAAUGCACGAAAGCGUGGGGAGCAAACAGGAUUAGAUACCCUGGUAGUCCACGCCCUAAACGAUGUCAACUAGUUGUUGGGAGGGUUUCUUCUCAGUAACGUAGCUAACGCAUGAAGUUGACCGCCUGGGGAGUACGGCCGCAAGAUUA